AGGUCUGGAUGAGUGCCAAUGUUGCGUAAAUGCUGAAUAUUGCACUCGUCCCGGCCUUU
rnacentral:pre_miRNA from 1 species